rnacentral:lncRNA from 1 species
CAGGCAUGGCUGUCUGUAGGAUCUGCAAGGCUCUCUGUGAGAAUAUCAUCUGUAAGCAGGCCCUGGCGAGCAUGUAAAAAGAGGAUCCUGCUGAGGUGCUUUCUCUAGUCUUUCUGGUUAUGGCUCUGAACAGUGGGAAAGAAGAGGCAGUGGACAGCCAUGAGUGCACAGCAUUCGAGUGGGCAAAGAGAAGCAAGAUCGACCCCAGGCCUGGAACGCAGCCUCUGAAUCUGAAACAGCACAGAAUUUCUCAAGGCAGACAGAAGAGGCUUAACAACCAAGAACAACUGCCAGCUCCAAGGAAUCCCAUGCCCUUAACUCUCUUACCACCUUCCGCUGGUCCCUGUGCAUUUGGCAUACACUCAUGUGCGUAUGUAUGCAUAUAAAUAAAAAUGUGAAAACAGAAAAUCAGGAAAACAGCCACUCAUUCUACUGGCGCCAUGACUUUGAAGAAUGUCACCAUCUCAAGAGUGUCUGUGGCAGAGGCUCUCAAUCUGUAGGUCAGGACCCUUUUGGGGUUUUGGACCCUUUCACAGGGGUUGUCUAAGACCAUCCUGUAUAUCAGAUACUUACAUUAAGAUUCAUUACAGUAGCAAAAUCACAGUUAUGUAGUAGCAACAAAUGUGAU